UCCUUGCUGGUUGAGUUAGGCCACGCCAUAGGACUUUGGCACGAGGAGACCAGAUCAGACAGGGAUACCUACGUCCACAUCAACACGGACAACGUCCUCCCAGAGAAGGAGCACAAUUUCUUCAAGGAAGCUGACAACAGCUACGGAGUGCCUUACGACUAUAGCUCCAUCAUGCAUAGCCAUGAAAGGGUCUACCAGCUGACAGGAGACAUCACCAUAGCCACCCUGAACCCGCUCUACCAGGGCCUCCUGGGACAGACUGACCAUCUGUCCCAUAUGAACAAACUUCUUGUCAACAAGAUGUACAGCUGUUCAGCCAAGCUGAUAGCCGCUGGGACCUGCACCGGCGACACUUGCCUGAACAACGGUUACCUCGCCAAGGACUGUUCGUGUGUGUGUCCAGAUGGGACGUCUGGUGCAAACUGCGAGACAGUCAAUAUCCCUUACAACAAAGCCAUCCUCUCGCCCUACACGGAGGAAAUCACCUCACCCACGACCAUCACCACGCCCAGUUAUCCUUCCAGGUAUCC